CCUACGGGAGGCAGCAGUGGGGAAUCUUGCGCAAUGGGCGAAAGCCUGACGCAGCAACGCCGCGUGCGGGAUGAAGGCCUUCGGGUUGUAAACCGCUUUCAGCAGGGAAGAAAUUGACGGUACCUGCAGAAGAAGCCCCGGCCAACUACGUGCCAGCAGCCGCGGUAACACGUAGGGGGCGAGCGUUGUCCGGAUUUAUUGGGCGUAAAGAGCUCGUAGGCGGUUCGGUAAGUCGGGUGUGAAACCUCCAGGCUCAACCUGGAGACGCCACCUGAUACUGCUGUGACUAGAGUCCGGUAGGGGAGUGUGGAACUCCUGGUGUAGCGGUGAAAUGCGCAGAUAUCAGGAAGAACACCAGCGGCGAAGGCGGCACUCUGGGCCGGUACUGACGCUGAGGAGCGAAAGCGUGGGUAGCAAACAGGAUUAGAUACCCUGGUAGUCCACGCCGUAAACGUUGGGCACUAGGUGUGGGUCUCAACCAACGAGAUCCGUGCCGCAGCUAACGCAUUAAGUGCCCCGCCUGGGGAGUACGGCCGCAAGGCUAAACGUUAAAGGAAUUGACGG
rnacentral:rRNA from 1 species